AUGGACUUAAUGAAGAGACUGGAACAGACCAGACACGAAUCAAUUAGAGCAGCCUGGGAAGAGAAGACAGAAUACGGCGUCAUUCUUUGGGAAGACCACCCAGGGGCCAAUGUCUGCACAGAGUUCUGUGUCCUUGUUCCUCUGGCCACAGCUGACUCAACAGUUUCGGAGCAGACAGAACAGUGCACAGAUCACACACUCCAGCCCCAGAAGAUAGGGAACUGUCUGAAAUCCCCCACCUCGGAUGACAUUUCUCUGCUUCAGGAGUAUCAGUCUGAUCAGCUAGCUUUGGCGAGGGGAAGAGCGGGAUAAGGAGCCGCCACUGCCGCCAUAUCAGUAACAAGCGCCAGUUGCAGUCUAUCAUCCAACACCUACUCAGACUUGCCUAGCAACCCAGCUGACUGAAGAACAAAUUAGGAUAGCUCAAAGAACAGGCCUUAUCCAGCAUCUGCCGAAGGGAGUUGAUGACCCUGGAAAAGAUGGAUCUGCAGUGUGUGAUCUGUAUGAUGGACUUUGUUUAUGGGGACCCAGUUCCAUUUCUGUGGGCAUACAUGUCUAUCACCUGGACUGUACAGAUGACUGGUUGAUGAGAUCCUUCACGUGCCCCUCCUGCAUGGAGCCAGGUGAACAGCACUGCUUUCAUCCUAUGAGACUAACUGAGCCAGGGUCCCUCGUCUGACUUCAAGUGAACCAUCAUUUUUGGGUGAUUUUGAUCUUUUGUCAUUGAGCCCAAAGAACCAGGGAUUAGGAAUUAAGAUCAUGCAUAGAAGUUUCCUAAAAAUUCCUGGAUGGCUACAGAUUUUGGGGGGAAAGUAUGCGUUAUUUUAGAAACUUAGUGGGAAAAGUAGGAUGGUAUUUUUAUGUAAAGCCUUGACCCAGUGUUUAAAAAUAUAAUUAUAUUUAGAUUUUGUUAUUGCUCCAGUACAUAGGAACUGUGUAAAGUGUUAUAGCUGCGUAUAUAUUUAAAUUGCGUAUGUCGAAGAUUAGGAAAAGAUAGUGGUUAUUUUUCCUAAAUGAAAUAACUUUUUCUUCCCCCCAUCCAAAUUCUUUUCUGAAGUUGCUGGCAUUUGGGUUGAGGUUUUAUUAAAAGAUACAUUUUAUAACACUGGCACACAAAAAAGUAGUUUUAAGCUUGUUUGCACAGUUCUUUUUUUCCAUCGGAAAUGGAAUUCAUUGCCUUGGGUCUUUUUAAAUAGUGUACUAUUAUUGUUGGGGCUGGCUCUAUGCUUGAAAACCAGUUUAUUUAUAACCUGUAUAAGGGCUACAUUCCGUUUGCAGUUAAGAAAUGCAGAAUUCGAAGCGAUCUCUCAGCUUGUAAGCAAACUGAGAUAGAUGCACUAUCCCUUUUCUAUAAAAAAUAAGUUAAUGUGUCAAGAAAUUCUAGUAAAGUGGAGUUUAAAGAUUACCCUUUCCUAUAUGUGUUUAAUUAUUUUGGAUGUUAAUAUGGUGAUAAUUGAAAGUCAAGGUAAAUUUUAAAUAUUAAGAAUUCUGAUUUAUCGAGCUUGAAUUAUGCCACCAUGUUUAUGUAAAAAACGAAAGUGGCACCAUGGUGAAACUUAAGGAAGUAACUUCCCAGUUCUAACAAUUUUGGUUUUUUAUCUUCCCUGUGACUUCCUUCCCUCUUGUCUUGACCACAGCAAAAGGAUAUUGCAUAUCUCGUUACUGUAGUGCUAAGGUUACAGCUUACUGACAAGACUAAGCGGUGAGAAUAAAGAUCAAUGUGUUUCAUGCUUUGCACACAAAUGCAGAAUUUGUAUAACCACAUGACUUCAUAGUCAUGAUCUAAAAAAGAAGGAAUUUCUCCUUUGUCCUUUUUUUCUUGCAGUUACUGUAAGAACACUUUAAAUCUCUAAGCUUCUGACCUGUUUAGAGGUAGAGAUGAUUUAGCAAAGAUGUAGUAGUAAUGUUUCAUCCAUUUAGCAUGUGUUUAUUUUUCCUUACGUACUCAGUGGUGACUUGUUCAGGUCAGUAAUAUUACAGCUAAAAGCCAUUCAUUAGCAAAAGGAGAAGCAGUCUCAUCCUAACAAAGAAAUCACAAGUGUUUCUCCUCAUUAUUUUAUAUUGAGUUGGAUACCUGACUCUAACCCUUUUCUACAUGCAAAAUUUAAGUAUCCUGAGAGUUCAUCAUAAUUGCAUUGUGAAGGAAUUUAGUAUGUCAUAGCGCUUUGUA